rnacentral:rRNA from 1 species
UCUAUUUGUAAUAUAUGUGGCGUCGAUGAGGAGGAUGAGUUCCAUGCCGUACUGGAAUGCACAAAAAGCAGAGCCGUGAGAGAAGCGCUAAGGAAAGUCUGGGACCUUCCUCCUGAGGUUGCAUUCCUCCGUACGGGUCCGGAUUGGCUUUAGAUGUUACUAUGCUCUGAAACUGAAGAAGUUAGAGCAAGAAUUCUCAUGAUGCUUCGGAGAAGCUGGCAUUUGCGUGAUGAUAUUGUGCAUGGGAACGAGAGAGAGACCAUUACAAAAUCUGUAAUAUUCCUACUGCAGUAUGAGGACGACAUGGCAAGGGCAUCCUUGACGCAAGGCUCUGAGUCAGGAAAGGAUCUAUGGCCCCUGGCCAUUAAAACGCCCCAUGCUAUCUCAACGGACUGCAGACAGUGGGCUGCUCCGACAGAAGGAACCAUCAAAAUUAACUCUGAUGCGUCCUUCUUGCCAGACUCAGGAAAUUGUUGGGCAGGAGCUCUUGCUAGGAACCACAGGGGGCAAAUCAUGUGGUGCAUGGGGAAACAGAUGCUCACAUCGAAUAGUGUGGAAGAGGCGGAGGCCAAGGCCGCCCUGUGUGGGCUGCAAACGAUGGCGUCAAUAUAUACAUGUCCUAUAGAGGUGGAACUAGACUAUCAAUCAGUAUCAAGGAAUUGUCAGGUGCUGGUCCUAGCAUGUCUCCCUGCUAUGCUGUGA